rnacentral:rRNA from 1 species
CCUACGGGAGGCAGCAGUGAGGAAUAUUGGUCAAUGGACGAGAGUCUGAACCAGCCAAGUAGCGUGAAGGAUGACUGCCCUAUGGGUUGUAAACUUCUUUUAUAUGGGAAUAAAAUGUUCCACGUGUGGGAUGUUGUAUGUACCAUAUGAAUAAGGAUCGGCUAACUCCGUGCCAGGAGCCGCGGUAAUACGGAGGAUCCGAGCGUUAUCCGGAUUUUGUGGGUUUAAAGGGAGCGUAGGUGGAUUGUUAAGUCAGUUGUGAAAGUUUGCGGCUCAACCGUAAAAUUGCAGUUGAAACUGGCAGUCUUGAGUACAGUAGAGGUGGGCGGAAUUCGUGGUGUAGCGGUGAAAUGCUUAGAUAUCACGAGGAACUCCGGUUGCGAAGGCAGCUCACUGGACUGCAACUGACACUGAGGCUCGAAAGUGUGGGUAUCAAACAGGAUUAGAUACCCGAGUAGUC